rnacentral:rRNA from 1 species
CGGGCUGGACCUCUCGGGGUUACAGCCUUGCUGAAUUAUUCACCCUUGUCUUUUGCGUACUUCUUGUUUCCUUGGUGGGUUCGCCCACCACUAGGACAAACAUAAACCUUUUGUAAUUGCAAUCAGCGUCAGUAACAAAUUAAUAAUUACAACUUUCAACAACGGAUCUCUUGGUUCUGGCAUCGAUGAAGAACGCAGCGAAAUGCGAUAAGUAGUGUGAAUUGCAGAAUUCAGUGAAUCAUCGAAUCUUUGAACGCACAUUGCGCCCUUUGGUAUUCCAAAGGGCAUGCCUGUUCGAGCGUCAUUUGUACCCUCAAGCUUUGCUUGGUGUUGGGCGUCUUGUCUCUAGCUUUGCUGGAGACUCGCCUUAAAGUAAUUGGCAGCCGGCCUACUGGUUUCGGAGCGCAGCACAAGUCGCACUCUCUAUCAGCAAAGGUCUAGCAUCCAUUAAGCCUUUUUUUCAACUUUUGACCUCGGAUCAGGUAGGGAUACCCGCUGAACUUAAGCAUAUCAAUAAGCCGGA